rnacentral:lncRNA from 1 species
CAGUACUGCAGAUCCCCGAUCCAGAGGGUUCGGACCUCGUCGGCGCUGGCGGGCUGCUGCUGAGGCGGAGGCUGGGCGGAGGGGGCCCACAUGGCCUGCGGGGCCUGGGCCUGCGGCGGCAUCAUGACGUAGGGUUGCUGCUGCUGCGGCGGAGGCUGCUGGUACUGUUGCGGCGGCUGCUGGCCCAUGGUGGGAGGUGCCAUGCCGGGUCCUGGCUGCUGCAUCAUCUCGCCCCGCAAAUCUGAGAAUUCUAGAGAGAGAAAGAGAGGGCAAAGAAAGAGAGAGAAAGAGAUUG